rnacentral:lncRNA from 1 species
AUUUUCUCAUUUAUUGAUUAUGAAAUCGUUAUUUUCUUGAUCUGAUUGAUUGAUUAGAAAUAAAGACUCUAAUUACGUUUCUUGAUUAUUAAGGUAUAAAAUUGUAUUGUUGUUUAAAUGCGGUUUAAUUAAUCUGUGAACAUAAAAUGAGAUAUCGAUAUGCGAUUGGUGAUUAUUUUGUUGAUGGGGAACUAUAUAUAAAAGGUUUACUGGGUACUUUGGGGAAUAGUGGACGGACUCAAUAC